rnacentral:tRNA from 1 species
AAGUAUGAAGCAAAACAUUAAGCAUUUAGUUUCGACCUAAAACCAUGAUAAAAAUAUCCUUACUUA